AUGCAGCACGCCGCGUGAGGGAUGACGGCCUUCGGGUUGUAAACCUCUUUUAGCAGGGAAGAAGCGAAAGUGACGGUACCUGCAGAAAAAGCGCCGGCUAACUACGUGCCAGCAGCCGCGGUAAUACGUAGGGCGCAAGCGUUAUCCGGAAUUAUUGGGCGUAAAGAGCUCGUAGGCGGUUUGUCGCGUCUGCUGUGAAAUCCCGAGGCUCAACCUCGGGCCUGCAGUGGGUACGGGCAGACUAGAGUGCGGUAGGGGAGAUUGGAAUUCCUGGUGUAGCGGUGGAAUGCGCAGAUAUCAGGAGGAACACCGAUGGCGAAGGCAGAUCUCUGGGCCGUAACUGACGCUGAGGAGCGAAAGGGUGGGGAGCAAACA
rnacentral:rRNA from 1 species